UGGGAAGUUUGGGCUUUUGCCAUGUAUUC
rnacentral:piRNA from 1 species